GACGAACCGUGCGAACGUUGUUCGGAAUCACUGGGCUUAAAGGGCGCGUAGGCGGGGAGGUAGGUCAGGGGUGAAAGCCCACGGCCCAACCGUGGAAGUGCCUUUGAUACUGCCUGUCUCGAGGGAGGUAGGGGCGUGCGGAACUUCCGGUGGAGCGGUGAAAUGCGUAGAUAUCGGAAGGAACACCGGUGGCGAAAGCGGCGCGCUGGACCUCUUCUGACGCUGAGGCGCGAAAGCCAGGGGAGCAAACGGG
rnacentral:rRNA from 1 species